UACGAGGGGAGCAAGCGUUGUUCGGAUUUACUGGGCGUAAAGGGCGCGUAGGCGGCGUGACUAGUCACUUGUGAAAUCUCCGGGCUUAACUCGGAACGGUCAAGUGAUACUGUCGUGCUAGAGUACAGAAGGGGCAACUGGAAUUCUCGGUGUAGCGGUGAAAUGCGUAGAUAUCGAGAGGAACACCUGCGGCGAAGGCGGGUUGCUGGGCUGAUACUGACGCUGAUGCGCGAAAGCCAGGGGAGCGAACGAG
rnacentral:rRNA from 1 species